UCCGAGUUGACCCCGGCAGUCUCCCAUGAGUCCCCACCAUCACGUGCUGGCAACAUGGAACAAGGGUUGCGCUCGUUGCGGGACUUAACCCAACAUCUCACGACACGAGCUGACGACAGCCAUGCACCACCUGUCACCGAUCCCAAAAGGACCCCGCAUCUCUGCAGGAUUACCGGUGAUGUCAAACCUUGGUAAGGUUCUUCGGGUUGCAUCGAAUUAAGCCGCAUGCUCCGCCGCUUGUGCGGGGACCCGUCAAUUCCUUUGAGUUUUAGCCUUGCGGCCGUACUCCCCAGGCGGGAUACUUAAUGCGUUAGCUUCGGCACGGCAGUCGUUGGUACAACCGCCACACCUAGUAUCCAACGUUUACAGCGUGGACUAC
rnacentral:misc_RNA from 1 species